GACGAACGCUGGCGGCGUGCUUAACACAUGCAAGUCGAACGGAAAGGCCCCCACCUUGGUGGGGGUGCUCGAGUGGCGAACGGGUGAGUAACACGUGGGUGAUCUGCCCUGUACUUCGGGAUAAGCUUGGGAAACUGGGUCUAAUACCGGAUAGGACCAUGGUUUAGUGUCUCAUGGUGGAAAAAUUAUUGUUUUGGUGCAGGAUGAGCUCGCGGCCUAUCAGCUUGUGGGUGGGGUAAUGGCCUACCAAGGCGCCGACGGGUAGCCGGCCUGAGAGGGUGGACGGCCACAUUGGGACUGAGAUACGGCACAGACUCCUACGGGAGGCAGCAGUAGGGAAUAUUGAACAAUGGGCGCAAGACUGAUGCAGAGACGCCGCGUGGGGAAUGACGGCCUUCGGGUUGUAAACUCCUUUCGUUAGGGACGAAGCCACACCUUUUUUGGGUGUGGUGACGGUACCUUUGUUAAGAAGCACCGGCUAACUACGUG
rnacentral:rRNA from 1 species